AACGCACAUUGCGCCCUUUGGCAUUCCAUAGGGCAUGCCUGUUCGAGCGUCACUUCAAAACUCAAGCAAUGCUUGGUCUUGGGCGACCGUCCCGCCCCCCCGCGCGCGGACCCGCCUCAAAAGCAUUGGCAGCCGGUAUCCCGGUCCUCGAGCGCAGCAGAUCGCGCCUCGAGCCGGGCGGCCGGCGCUCCAGCAAGUCUUCACCCCCACGUUUUGACCUCGGAUCAGGCAGGGUUACCCGCUGAACUUAA
rnacentral:misc_RNA from 1 species